rnacentral:rRNA from 1 species
GGUAACACGAAAUCGUACCCCAAACCGACACAGGUGGUCAGGUAGAGAAUACCAAGGCGCUUGAGAGAACUCGGGUGAAGGAACUAGGCAAAAUGGUGCCGUAACUUCGGGAGAAGGCACGCUGAUAGGUAGGUGAAGUCCCUGCGGACGGAGCUGAAAUCAGUCGAAGAUACCAGCUGGCUGCAACUGUUUAUUAAAAACACAGCACUGUGCAAACACGAAAGUGGACGUAUACGGUGUGACGCCUGCCCGGUG